rnacentral:rRNA from 1 species
UCGUCAGCUCGUGUCGUGAGAUGCUGGGUUAAGUCCCGCAACGAGCGCAACCCUCGACCUUAGUUGCCAGCAUUCAGUUGGGCACUCUAAGGUGACUGCCGGCUAAAAGUCGGAGGAAGGUGGGGAUGACGUCAAAUCAUCAUGCCCUUAUGACCUGGGCUACACACGUGCUACAAUGGGCGGUACAAAGGGUCGCGAACCCGCGAGGGGGAGCCAGUCCCAAAAAGCCGCUCUCAGUUCGGAUUGCAGGCUGCAACUCGCCUGCAUGAAGCCGGAAUCGCUAGUAAUCGCGGAUCAGCAUGCCGCGGUGAAUACGUUCCCGGGCCUU